UCCUUUUCCUUUGUAAAAAAAAAUCGUUAAAAUUGAGUUACCAUUGUGUUCCCACCGCUUCGCUGUCUCUGCCGGCGUUGUGUACCGCAGCCUCCUCCGGUCCUCCCCCCUGCGCCGCCGCCCCGGCUUCGUCGCCCUCGACGUCGUCGCCUUCUCCUUCCUGGUGCGCCCCCAUUUUCCACCAGGGACUCCUCACCUCCUCUCCUGGGCGCAGUGGCGAGAGGUCAAUUUCUCGAUUCGUUCUAAUUUCCAACCCCGGUUCGAUCCGGUAGUGGCUUCUUGUGACCCAUGUGCGGGCCAUCAGAUCGCCGACCUCCGUUCCCAUAUGCCUCUUCACUCUCGGCGGGCGCGGGCCGGGGCCGAGGGCCCCGGGAGCUGCCAUGGACGCUACGCGUUAUCUGAUUUCUGAGUGAUAACCCAGAUCGGACCUUGAGGCUCAUUAAAGAUGGGAUGGCAUGUCAACAAACGCCAAGAUGCAUGCCACCAUUGCACAUUCCAGGAGGGACUCGGACCUGUAUGCAUCUCUCAUGUUGUGCGCAGUAGAAAGUCGAGCAGCUAUUCGCAACGCACACACAUGGACGGCGAACUGGCGAAGGCUUGUUUGCGCUGGAGCUGACAAGUGAUGUGAUAAUUGCUGACAUGAUGCCUGAUGGUGCAAUCAAGGCGUAUAUUCGUGAUGCUGCUUUGAUGGAUGGAAGUCGUAAAACAAAGCAUGUGUCAUGCUAGCAUGAUUUGUGAAUGUGACACAAUUUUAGAUCAUGUUUGAUCUGAAGGAGCAGAGGAAGCCUAUAUCAAACGUUGUUGGAAAGAUUUGGGGGAAUGUUGAGGCUAGUGGCCACAAUAUUUAGCAACGUCUGAAGUCAACCUGUGGAGCUCAGGUGGUUCCAGGAGGCCAGCACCCAGCACGCCAGAAUGCUGGGAUAUCUUGGCCAUGACAGCGACUGGUUCCCUUGCUUGACCGCAUUAUUGCUCAUGAAGUCAGUCUCCGUGGGGAGUGUGUGGUCGUCUAGGAACUUGGUAACUGUGCCGGGGAAGUGUCAUGGUGACACUCUCUCGUUCUAAGAAACUUCUCUCAUAAAUGACUGUUAUAUUAGUAAAUUUGCUGAUAUGACAUGACAUUUAAUGAUCAUGACACUUCUACGAUACUCUUAUUGAGAUUGGCCAUACCAAUCAUGGCCAGGUUCAUUUCAAGUCAAAAGUAUCAGUAGUGCAAAUCUUCUCCAUUGUGUGCAGACUUAUUAUCUCAUUUCAGGUAGCCAGUAUACCUCUUUCUA